GGAGGAAAAGAAACCAACAGGGAUUGCCCCAGUAACGGCGAGUGAAGCGGCAACAGCUCAAAUUUGAAAUCUGGCCCCCAGGGCCCGAGUUGUAAUUUGCAGAGGAUGCUUUUGGCGCGGCGCCUUCCGAGUUCCCUGGAACGGGACGCCAUAGAGGGUGAGAGCCCCGUCUGGUCGGACGCCAAGCCAGUGUAAAGCUCCUUCGACGAGUCGAGUAGUUUGGGAAUGCUGCUCUAAAUGGGAGGUAUAUGUCUUCUAAAGCUAAAUAUAGGCCAGAGACCGAUAGCGCACAAGUAGAGUGAUCGAAAGAUGAAAAGCACUUUGAAAAGAGGGUUAAACAGUACGUGAAAUUGUUGAAAGGGAAGCACUUGUGACCAGACUUGGGCCCGGUGAAUCAUCCAGCGUUCUCGCUGGUGCACUUCGCCGGGCUCAGGCCAGCAUCAGUUCGCCGCGGGGGACAAAAGCUUCGGGAACGUGGCUCCCUCGGGAGUGUUAUAGCCCGUUGCACAAUACCCUGCGGUGGACUGAGGUUCGCGCUCCGCAAGGAUGCUGGCGUAAUGGUCACCAGUGACCCGUCUUGAAACACGGACCAAGGAGUCGUCUUCGUAUGCGAGUGUUCGGGUGUCAAACCCCUACGCGUAAUGAAAGUGAACGCAGGUGAGAGCUUCGGCGCAUCAUCGACCGAUCCUGAUGUUCUCGGAUGGAUUUGAGUAAGAGCAUACGGGGCCGGACCCGAAAGAAGGUGAACUAUGCCUGUAUAGGGUGAAGCCAGAGGAAACUCUGGUGGAGGCUCGCAGCGGUUCUGACGUGCAAAUCGAUCGUCAAAUAUGGGCAUGGGGGCGAAAGACUAAUCGAACCUUCUAGUAGCUGGUUUCCGCCGAAGUUUCCCUCAGGAUAGCAGUGUUGAACUCAGUUUUAUGAGGUAAAGCGAAUGAUUAGGGACCCGGGGGCGCUCUUUAGCCUUCAUCCAUUCUCAAAC
rnacentral:rRNA from 1 species